UACGGAAGGCAGCAGUAGGGAAUCUUCCGCAAUGGACGAAAGUCUGACGGAGCAACGCCGCGUGAACGAUGAAGGCUUUCGGGUCGUAAAGUUCUGUUGUUAGGGAAGAACAAGUACCGGAGUAACUGCCGGUACCUUGACGGUACCUAACCAGAAAGCCACGGCUAACUACGUGCCAGCAGCCGCGGUAAUACGUAGGUGGCAAGCGUUGUCCGGAAUUAUUGGGCGUAAAGCGCGCGCAGGUGGUUCUUUUAAGUCUGAUGUGAAAGCCCACGGCUCAACCGUGGAGGGUCAUUGGGAAACUGGGGAACUUGAGUGCAGAAGAGGAAAGUGGAAUUCCACGUGUAGCGGUGAAAUGCGUAGAGAUGUGGAGGAACACCAGUGGCGAAGGCGACUUUUCUGGUCUGUAACUGACACUGAGGCGCGAAAGCGUGGGGAGCGGAACAGGGAUUAGGAUACC
rnacentral:rRNA from 1 species